UACGUAGGUGACAAGCGUUGUCCGGAUUUACUGGGCGUAAAGAGCGCGCAGGCGGUCGACCAAGUCGAGUGUGAAAGCCCCCGGCUCAACUGGGGAGGGUCAUUCGAUACUGAUCGACUCGAAGGCAGGAGAGGGUAGUGGAAUUCCCGGUGUAGUGGUGAAAUGCGUAGAUAUCGGGAGGAACACCAGUGGCGAAGGCGACUACCUGGCCUGUUCUUGACGCUGAGGCGCGAAAGCGUGGGGAGCGAACAGG
rnacentral:rRNA from 1 species